UGACGUGUAGCUCAGGGGUAGAGCACUUACCUAACAUGUGUGAGGUUCUGAGUUCAAUCCCCAGCACCAUAA
rnacentral:tRNA from 1 species